AUUGAACGCUGGCGGCAUGCUUUACACAUGCAAGUCGAACGGCAGCACGGGAGCAAUCCUGGUGGCGAGUGGCGAACGGGUGAGUAAUACAUCGGAACGUGCCCAGUAGUGGGGGAUAGCCCGGCGAAAGCCGGAUUAAUACCGCAUACGACCUAAGGGUGAAAGCGGGGGAUCGCAAGACCUCGCGCUCUUGGAGCGGCCGAUGGCAGAUUAGCUUGUUGGUGGGGUAAAAGCCUACCAAGGCGACGAUCUGUAGCUGGUCUGAGAGGACGACCAGCCACACUGGGACUGGGACACGGCCCAGACUCCUACGGGAGGCAGCAGUGGGGAAUUUUGGACAAUGGGCGCAAGCCUGAUCCAGCCAUGCCGCGUGCGGGAAGAAGGCCUUCGGGUUGUAAACCGCUUUUGUCAGGGAAGAAACGGCUUAAUCUAAUAAAUUGAGCGAAUGACGGUACCUGAAGAAUAAGCACCGGCUAACUACGUGCCAGCCGCCGCCGUAACAC
rnacentral:rRNA from 1 species